rnacentral:rRNA from 1 species
UUGUGCCUACGGGGGGCAGCAGUGGGGAAUAUUGCACAAUGGGGGGAACCCUGACCCAGCAACGCCGCGUGAAGGAAGAAGGCUUUCGGGUUGUAAACUUCUUUGACGAGGGACGAAAAAAAUGACGGUACCUUGAAAGCAAGCCACGGCUAACUACGUGCCAGCAGCCGCGGUAAUACGUAGGUGGCAAGCGUUGUCCGGAUUUACUGGGUGUAAAGGGCGCGUAGGCGGGACUGCAAGUCAGAUGUGAAAUGCAGAGGCUCAACCUCUGAGCUGCAUUUGAAACUGUAGUUCUUGAGGAUCGG